ensembl:lncRNA
CUUUUGUCAAAAUUGUCUUUAGUGUUUAAAGACUCUCUUCUUUCCUUGCCCCCAAGCACCAGAUUAAGAAGGUGUGGUUUUUAAAUCGGAAUGAUUUUCAUCACAACAUUCAAAGUCAUUGAAUUAGGGGUUCAUUCUCAGAAGCUACUUGAGGAAUUUUUCAAAGUACACGUUUCUUUGACACAGCAUAUGAAAUUCAAUUUCAGUGUCAUUUCAUAGUGAGAUACUAAAAUAUUUUAUGAAGACAAACAAAUAAACAAAACCCCAAGCCCCACAUAACUCCCAUGUGCUUCUGAUGUGCCCAUGGAUUGACAUACACUAAUCCAGAUGAAAGUAAAAAUGAAUUUCCUGAACAUAAGUGGAAAUAAUGCCAGACCAUUGUAGAUUUCAAACUUCAUGGAAAAUUAAAAACUUCCCCUUUUUUGGAAGGAUGUUUUAUGAAUCCAGUAUAUAUAGCCUAAGUUUCCUAUUCUUAUUAGCUUAUCACUUUCAGACUAAUGUUGGAAAUGAUCAUUGUCUGAUGGCCUUUGGGGAUGUUUAUGUUCCUUUUCCCAGCAAUGGGUUCCCUUGGCCAGCCGGCACUGUUCUUUUUCCAUAUUUCAGGAUCUCAGUUUGAAACAAGCUAUGAUAGCUUUCAACAGUCAAUCAUAUUGACCAUUACAUUAUUCUUUGUGACUUGGGAGAAUACUCCUGUUACCUCAAGUGCUCUAUCUGCUGAGAAUUAGGAACCAUUUCUAUGUAAUAAAGAACUAUCGAUCACCGGGAAGUAUACUCUUCCUUCUUGUGGAAGAAAACUUAUGACAUUGAACUUGAUAAGAGCCAUUAUUUUCACAAGCUCAAAUGAAACAUGUCUUCUUUGUCUCCCCUCCCACCUCUGCAGGUUCAAGUAUGCAGAGUAGACCAAAUCGGAAAGAAGGCAUCACUUUAGACUGAAACAAAUCAGGGCUAACCAGAAAAGACCUUUUAGGCCAACGACCACUUGAGAUGUCCCUGAUUCCUCCGUGUUUCACUCACUGGCUCCUGGCUCCUGGAAUCUGUUGGACCUGUAUUUGCAUUCAUCAUUUCUCAGGAGGGAAAUGAUUCUAGUGACCUCACUGUGGGGAGACAGGAGUUUCUGAUCUUGAGAUGGGGAGGCCUGUUACAAAUGAAAUCAGAGAC